ensembl:antisense
ACACCGAUGCUUGCACUCCGGGGUCGGGACAAAGGCAUCACCUCUAGGUUCCUCCCGUCAGGGCACUCCGGCCCUGGCCCAAACCCUCUCCGGUUUCCCGAGCCCGACACUCCAGUGCACCGAGCCCUGGAGACGGAGGCCGCGAUUCAGGCCUCGGGUGAGCACCGGCGUCCUGCCGCUCCCGCGAUCCUGUCAGCGGCCAGCGGGCCUCAGGGUCCCCGUAGGACUGCCGCGGCGCCCCUCCGAGCCGGCGCCGCCAGACGCUCCGGCGAACCCGUCAGGUGCUGAGCGGCCGGGCCAAGCCCGCCGCCAGAUGGGAGCAGGGGCGGCACUUACCCGGCAGCGCCUCCUCCGCCCGCGGCAGCAACACAGCCGGCGGCCCUCCGCACCAUCUUCUGCCGCCGCCCUGGCCUCGGCGGCGGCUAUCAACCGCCCCUGCGGCGCCGCCAACCGACACAACCGUCGGCGCCCAGCCGCCGAGUACCCGGCGAGGCCCGGAAGGAUGGGAGUCGGGCGCAGCCGCUGCUCCGGCCCCUCGGCUCCGCGCGGGGACCCGAGUCCGCCGGCCGAGGCACUGAGAGCUUGGCAGGGCUGGGUCGCGGCCGCCGUGGGGUUUGUUAUUGUCGACUCGGCCUUUCCGCCGCAGAGCACGCCGGGAAACAGCCAGCCGGGGGAGGGGUGACUCAGGUGUCUGCGCAGAUCCGGAAGUCGCUGGGCUGGCCGGACGGGCGCGGCUCGGUCGGCGAGCGUAGUCCCUGGCUGGCAACUUGUCUGUCCUUCCCUGACCCUGGAAGGUAUUUCGGUGCUUGCCUUGGACGGCCCCAAGGUGAGCGUGACCUUCUGGCCGCGGCAGACCGACCUCGCCAAACCUGGGGCAGCCCCAACAGGGGAACCGGAGGCUGACGAGUGAGCACCAGCACAGAUCUGGGGCCCUCAUCUGCUGCCCCGAAAUCAGCCGACUGUCACCUGGGCCACUCGUACCGGGACUGCCAGAAUGGCAGGCUACUCGGAAAGUAUGCCUGGCAUCUUUGCAAGGGUGGGGCGGCCCAGAGUCAGACCAGGUAAGUAAAGAGCACGUCCAGAAGAGGAACCGAAGCAAAGUGGACUGUACUGUAAGCGGCACGACCGAACAAUACUGAGGUCGAUAAUAGGUCAACAGCAUCAAGAUUAGAGAAGAGAAUGUCAGCUUAUGAGAACAUUACAUUUGUAUUCGGGCUUAGGCAAGGACUUGAAACUACAAAACUUGAGUUUGAUGAGAAGAUGUUUGUUACAAGCAGGCUCAUCAAUUAUGUGACGUAAACACGUAUUAAAUUACUAUUCCCAGGAAUAUCUGAUAGAGGUAAAAGUUUAGGAAUGGUCUCUCUAAGCCAACAGUUAGCGGUUCCCGACAAAAUGAGACAUAAGGGGUAUUAAACUGAUUGAGAUCUGCAGUUCUUUAUUGUGAUAGACACUGGAAAAACAGUAGUUGUGUUUUAAGAGUUGUUUAGAAAGGAGCUUGUUGCUUAUCUCACUUUGUUUUUAACUUUGCACUUCUGCCAUAUCCCAGAAAAAUCUUGUAUGCACACUGUUAUACAUAUUGAGUAUUUUUUAAACUGGAAUUUUAGUACAUUACACCAGCAAAUAAAGCAAAAAUGGAAAAAGAACAAGCACUCAAUUUUUGUGCACCAGGGGAAGUAGUGAAUUGGCAAGACUAAAGAGAAGAAAAAUUGUUAGUAUAUUAACAAAUGUAAGCUAUAUUGCAGUCUAGCUAGAACAAUGAAGAUCAAAGCUGGCCGGGUGGUGCACAUACCUUUAAUCCCUUCUCUCAGAAGCUGAGGCCUGCUCUACAGAAUGAGCUUCAGGGAGCCAAGGCUACACAGAAAAAGGAAAAUCAGGGCCGGUGAGAUGGCCCAGAGGGUAAGGAGAUCUACUGACUACCAAAACUGACAACCUGAGUUUCAUCCUAGGACUGACGUCGUGGGAGGAGAGAACCACUCCUUGAAGUUCACACACACUAAAAAGAGCACCAAAGAGCUGUGUUUCCUCACAGUUAAUAAGUACCAUUGAAUAGCAGAAAUGUACUCCAGUUUCAAGUGUUAAAGUACCACUUGUCAUGUUGUAUACGUGGCCCAAACUUCUCUGGGAAACUGUUAAUACAAAUGUCUGUUACUUUAUACUCUGAAGUGAAUGUUUAGAGUUUAUAUGCAUCUCAAAUUAUUUAGUAAGACUAAAGUGAAAAUAUGUUAUAUGAAUUUUGCUAAGCAACAUAGAUAAAUGUUAAUAAUCAUGCAUAUCCAUAAGUUUUCUGUCACAAGCUAUUUUUCCUCAUCCUCUUGAGCAUUCUAUUCUCCAUAAUAAACAAAAACAAACUCCUGCAAUACUAUGUGAAGCUUCGGGGCUUUUCUCAAUGAAACUUCAAACAGAUUUACAAGGACCAUAGAAUGAUCUUUCAUGGGGAGUGCAGAAACAUCAUUUCAACUUACUAAAGCAUGGGCCGUUCUGCCUUCCCCCUCCUUGUGUUAUCUCUAUCCUAUUGCUUGUAAACUCCUAUCCAUUUACUGUAUUCUUUUUCCCCACUUCUCAAUUAGAAUAUACUGUGGGUGAUGUGAAGGUUGGUUUCUGUAUAAGACUACUUAUUCUUGGCUUCCACUGAAUUUUUAAUUUAGUAUCUGUCAAUGUUUCAGUGAAUUUUCAAGGAACAACUAAAAGUGCUUUUUACCAAGAACAGAACUGACUCCGUUCCUCCACAUGUAUGUGUGUACAAUCAAUUGAAUCAAAUGUAAUUUUUAAAGUGAAUNNNNNNNNNNNNNNNNNNNNNNNNNNNNNUUUUUUUUUUUUUAGUUUUAUAACUGGAGGAAUUAUGCAGUCUGAGUACUACAAAUCAUUUGAAUUUUUAAGUCUCUUUUUCUCAGCUUAAACUUAAGCGUCUUCUAGUCUUUAUCAGACAUGUCUGUAAUUCUGGAUCUUUUAAGUGUUUAACAUGCUGAUUGUAAGCUCUUCUUUAAAUAUUAACCCCACCCCUGAAUAAUGAUACGCAUUCAGUACUAACAUUUGUUAGCAGCACCUUACAACUUGCUCAAGCCCUCUUCUUCUGUCUGGCCUUGUAUUAGCACUCAUUAUUUUUCUAUCAAGAACCAUCCAAUUAUGUCUCUUCCCUUCCUAAGGAUUGUCACUGGUUUUGUUUUGUAGAUGGAUAAAACUUGAACAUAGCACAACAUAUCUUGUCUGGAUUGGGUUUAGGUACCAACUCAUCUCACACUAUACUUGAUUAAAUUCUCCUCUGAUGAAUCUUUAAAUUGGAUGGAUUUUUAAAAUUCAUAGGACUCUGGAGAGAAUGACACAAAUUAUGAGGCAUUUNNNNNNNNNNNNNNNNNNNNNNNNNNGAUGAUUANNNNNNNNNNNNNNNNNNNNNAAUAUUUAAAGCCAAGUAAGUUUCUAUGAAAAAUUCUUGCCCUCAGAUGUCUCAAAGGCCAUUCAAACAAAACUGCAAGGAUAGUUGCAUCUGAGGCAGUAAUACUUUCUAUUCUUUAUUCUCCCAAUCCUAGUAUUGACCCACCAUUGAUUUUUAUCACUAUCUAAUAGCUUGAAAAACCAUUUGAUUCUGUGACAGGAGCCAGAUCUUGAGAUCCAUACUAUAUUUCGAUUUCAUACUUCUGGCAGUGCUUGUUAUUGUUGAUUUUUUAAAUGUACUUUUUUAUUGAAAAUACGAAAGUAUUCUUAGAUUUGUGUCUCUUGGAUUUUACAUUACAGUUCUACUUAGCUGUCUUAACUAAUCUAGAUUUUAUCAUUUACCCUCAGUUUUACAAAUGAGGGAUUGAUUUAUGAAGACCAAUCAAUACACUUCUAAUUAGUGUUCCUUAGUAAAAGGAGUGUAAAAGUAAAACCAGGUGGUGAGUUCUAAGGCCAUAACCAUACUACACAAUCCUGCCCCUUACUUUGGUAUCAAUUCAAAUUAAGGUCUUAAAAGGGUAUGAACUUGAAAGUUUAGAAGUAAACCAAGUUUCUCAAUGAUAGAACUAUUUUGUGGGCAUAGGGCAGGGAAUAGCUCAGUUAAUUCACAGGCCAUUCUGUGGAUGUUAUGUUUUUUAAAAAUGUAUUUUAGUAUUCUAUUUGGAUAUUCUCUCUGCAUGUAUGACGACCAUGCACCAUGUGCAUGCUUCAUGCUUAGAGACCAAAAGAGGGCACUGGAUCCUCUGGCAUUGGAAUUACAAAAAGCUGUGGGUGCUGGGACCUGAACAUGCUCUUUGGAAGAGCAGCCAAUGCUCUAGGUGGCUGAGUCUAGAGCCCACUCUAGCUCCACAUUUUCUGAUUUUUGACAUCUCUGGCUUCCAUCACCUGAUACUCUUAGCCAUAACUGUCUGUCUUCAGACCCCAGGACAAGGAGCUGAAGUGCAUAUUUUACAUACCAAAGCAGACCUGGCCUCCAGCUUCUCCCAGCAUCCCUCUGUCCCUAUCUGAUAUACCCUGCCCCCAACCUUGAACUUUCUAGUUUAGGAGCUUGGGCUGUUCUUCCCCCAGAGACUCUUCCCUAUAUAAUCCAUACAUUUUGCACCACCCUCGCUGGAUGUGCUCUUUUUCUUCCCCCUCCCCUCUUUCUCCCUCCUCAUGGCUGCAAAUCUGCCCAUGUAUACUUUGGCUUAUUUACUAGUGGAGAAAUAACUUACUAUUGAUAAUGCCUCUGCAGACACUCUAGUACUCCCAGGACAGAAAAAUCAAUUCCUUUCCUGAUUAACAAUUUAUAUCAUGCUACACCAUACACCUACUGAAAUUGUAUUUCAGAAAAAAAUUAGAAGACAUGGAAUCAGCCAGAUGGUGGUGGCGCACACCUUUAAUCCCAGCACUCGGGAGGCAGAGGCCAGCCUGGUCUACAAAGUGAGUUCAAGGACAGCCAGGGCUAUACAGAGAAACCCUGUCUCGAAAAACAAACAAACAAACACACAAAGGCAUGGAAUCAGACUACUGUAAUUCCCAUUUUUAUGGUUAUCUCUGGAAAUCUGUGAAUGAGGAUCCUAAAAUCUUGCCAUUCAUUUCCUAGGCAUAUUAAACUUCAAUCAUGGUAGCUUAGAAAAUAAAAUUCUAAAGAUUUCUAAAAAGAUUUUAUUUCUAAAACAAUCUAAAAUGAUGAUAUAAACAUGAGGUAGUGGUAUGAUUUAAAAAAAAAAGUAAUGGAAUUUAUCAAAACUUCUUUGCUCCACUUUGGGUUUUCAAGGUAGGGUUUCCCUGUGUAGCCCUGGAUGUAGAACUAAACUCUGUGGACUGGCUGACCUUGAACUCAGAGAUCUGCCUGCCUCUACUGAGUGCUGGGAUUAAAGGCUUAUGGCACUACCUCCAGCAAUCAAAACUCUUAAAAUACAAAGGGAUACUUUUUUCUUAUUUGUACCUAUUCUAUAUUUUUUAAACCAUGUAUGUUCUAUAUCUUUUAAACUGUGUAUCUUUUGUAACCUAUAAUAAAAUUAAGGCUUCUUUCUA